AAAUAAGAUUUACUGUGAGAAGUCAGCCGAGGCCAUAGUACGGGAGAACGACCACUUCCCGGAAGGGC
rnacentral:ncRNA from 1 species